UUUAAUUUAAAGGUCAAGGGAUAGGAUGAGCAUGCGUUCAUUAGCUAGAUGGUAAGGCCAUGGCUUACCUUGGUGACGAUGGGUAGGGGGCCUGACAGGGUGGUCCCACUCACUGGUACUGAAAACUCGAACAGACUCCUACCGGAGGCAACUUUGAAGAAUAUUGGUCAAUGGGAUCCAGCCUUAACCAGUCCUGCCGCACGCCGGACGAGUGCCCUAUGUCUUGCAAAGUGGUUUUAUUUGGGAAUAAACCUAUUUACGUGCCAAUAGUUGAAGGUACCAACUGAAUCAGCAC
rnacentral:rRNA from 1 species